ACAGGAGACGCUGGCGGCGUGCCUAAUACAUGCAAGUCGAACGGUCUUUCUAUGGAAGCUUGCUUCCACUGAGAAGAUAGUGGCGAACGGGUGAGUAACACGUGGGUAACCUACCCAUAAGAGGGGGGAUAACAUCCGGAAACGGGUGCUAAUACCGCAUAGUUUUCUUGAUCGCAUGAUUGAGAAAGGAAAGACGGCCUUUGUGCUGUCGCUUAUGGAUGGACCCGCGGCGUAUUAGUUAGUUGGUGAGGUAACGGCUCACCAAGACGAUGAUACGUAGCCGACCUGAGAGGGUGAUCGGCCACAUUGGGACUGAGACACGGCCCAAACUCCUACGGGAGGCAGCAGUAGGGAAUCUUCCGCAAUGGACGAAAGUCUGACGGAGCAACGCCGCGUGAGUGAAGAAAGGUUUUCGGAUCGUAAAACUCUGUUGUCAGAGAAGAACAAGUUGGAGAGUAACUGCUCCAGCCUUGACGGUAUCUGACCAGAAAGCCACGGCUAACUACGUGCCAGCAGCCGC
rnacentral:rRNA from 1 species